rnacentral:rRNA from 1 species
AUUGAACGCUGGCGGCAGGCCUAACACAUGCAAGUCGAGCGAGCGGCGGACGGGUGAGUAAUGUCUGGGAAACUGCCCGAUAGAGGGGGAUAACUACUGGAAACGGUGGCUAAUACCGCAUACUAUCGGAUGAACCCAUAUGGGAUUAGCUGGUAGGUAGGGUAAUGGCGUACCUAGGCAACGAUCUCUCGCUGGUCUGAGAGGAUGACCAGCCACACGGGGACGGAGACACGGCCCAGACUCCUACGGGAGGCAGCAGUGGGGAAUAUUGCACAAUGGGCGCAAGCCUGAUGCAGCCAUGCCGCGUGGAUGAAGAAGGCCUUCGGGUUGUAAAGUACUUUCAGCGGGGAGGCGUUACUCGCAGAAGAAGCACCGGCUAACUCCGUGCCAGCAGCCGCGGUAAUUC